AUUCCAAAGAAAGGCUGUCAGACUGUAAAUCGUUUGUAAGGUCACAGAGUUGCGCCUGGAUCUUCGAGAAAGACCUCCUGACACAUCCAGACACACCCAAAAUUGUUAUUUUCUAGUCCUUCUGGUUUAAUCCAAGCCCCGUGAGUGAUAGUUGGGCUGGCUAUGGUGGUGCAUGCUCGCAAUCCCACACUCGGGAGGCUGGAUGCAGGAGGAUGGCUGUGAGUUUGAGGCCAGCCUGCACUACACAGCGAGACCCUGCCUUACAAAAUAAAACAAACACACAAAAACAGCAUAUUGUUUCAAGAUGCAAUUUUAACACAGUAGGCUGUGCUGAAGCGGAAAAGGAGCUGCAUUAG
rnacentral:lncRNA from 1 species